rnacentral:rRNA from 1 species
GAUGAACGCUGGCGGCGUGCUUAACACAUGCAAGUCGAACGAUGAAGCCCAGCUUGCUGGGUGGAUUAGUGGCGAACGGGUGAGUAACACGUGAGUAACCUGCCCUUAACUCUGGGAUAAGCCUGGGAAACUGGGUCUAAUACCGGAUAGGAGCGCCUACCGCAUGGUGGGUGUUGGAAAGAUUUAUCGGUUUUGGAUGGACUCGCGGCCUAUCAGCUUGUUGGUGAGGUAAUGGCUCACCAAGGCGACGACGGGUAGCCGGCCUGAGAGGGUGACCGGCCACACUGGGACUGAGACACGGCCCAGACUCCUACGGGAGGCAGCAGUGGGGAAUAUUGCACAAUGGGCGAAAGCCUGAUGCAGCGACGCCGCGUGAGGGAUGACGGCCUUCGGGUUGUAAACCUCUUUCAGUAGGGAAGAAGCGAAAGUGACGGUACCUGCAGAAGAAGCACCGGCUAACUACGUGCCAGCAGCCGCGGUAAUACGUAGGGUGCGAGCGUUAUCCGGAAUUAUUGGGCGUAAAGAGCUCGUAGCGGUUUGUCGCGUCUGUCGUGAAAGUCCGGGGCUUACCCCGGAUCUGCGGUGGGUACGGGCAGACUAGAGUGCAGUAGGGGAGACUGGAAUUCCUGGUGUAGCGGUGGAAUGCGCAGAUAUCAGGAGGAACACCGAUGGCGAAGGCAGGUCUCUGGGCUGUAACUGACGCUGAGGAGCGAAAGCAUGGGGAGCGAACAGGAUUAGAUACCCUGGUAGUCCAUGCCGUAAACGUUGGGCACUAGGUGUGGGGACCAUUCCACGGUUUCCGCGCCGCAGCUAACGCAUUAAGUGCCCCGCCUGGGGAGUACGGCCGCAAGGCUAAAACUCAAAGGAAUUGACGGGGGCCCGCACAAGCGGCGGAGCAUGCGGAUUAAUUCGAUGCAACGCGAAGAACCUUACCAAGGCUUGACAUGUUCUCGAUCGCCGUAGAGAUACGGUUUCCCCUUUGGGGCGGGUUCACAGGUGGUGCAUGGUUGUCGUCAGCUCGUGUCGUGAGAUGUUGGGUUAAGUCCCGCAACGAGCGCAACCCUCGUUCCAUGUUGCCAGCACGUAAUGGUGGGGACUCAUGGGAGACUGCCGGGGUCAACUCGGAGGAAGGUGAGGACGACGUCAAAUCAUCAUGCCCCUUAUGUCUUGGGCUUCACGCAUGCUACAAUGGCCGGUACAAUGGGUUGCGAUACUGUGAGGUGGAGCUAAUCCCAAAAAGCCGGUCUCAGUUCGGAUUGGGGUCUGCAACUCGACCCCAUGAAGUCGGAGUCGCUAGUAAUCGCAGAUCAGCAACGCUGCGGUGAAUACGUUCCCGGGCCU